rnacentral:rRNA from 1 species
GGCUUGUUGAUUUUGAUUUCAAGUCUAACCUGCUCAAUGAUGGAUUAAAUGGCCGCGGUAUAUUGACCGUGCAAAGGUAGCAUAAUCAUUAGUUUUUCAAUUGAAAGCUGGUAUGAAUGGUUUGAUGGGAAGAUUUCUGUCUCUUUAAGAAUUUAUUAGAAUUUUAUUAUUAAGUGAAAAAGCUUAAAUAUUCAUGGAAGACGAGAAGACCCUAUAGAGUUUUAUAUCAUAAUGAAGUAAAUGGUUUGGGGUUGUAAACUAAUUUAUUUCAGGGGGAUAUUUUGUUGGGGUGACGGGAAAAUUAAAUUAACUUUUCCUUAGAAAAUCACUGAUGAGUGAAUAUAUGAUCCUAAUUUUUAGAUUAGAAGAGUAAAUUACCUUAGGGAUAACAGCGUAAUAUUUCCUAGAGUUCUUAUCGAAAGUAAUGAUUGCGACCUCGAUGUUGGAUUAAAAUUUAUAUUUGGUGCAGGAGCUGAGUAAUUAGGUCUGUUCGACCUUUAAAAUUUUACAUGAUCUGAGUUUAGACCGGUGUGAG